rnacentral:misc_RNA from 1 species
GCAUGGCGUGACGGUUUCUAUUUACUUGUUUAUAUUUUUUAUUUUUUUUAUACUUGUUUGUUUAAAAUUUCUAAAAACAAGGAGUAGUUUGCCAGAGAAAUUAAAAUACAUAAUUAAAUUAUUUUUUUCUCUCUGUAGUUUACUGUAGACAGACUUGUUGGAUGUAAACGUAAAACUGAAAUACCUCUACAAAAAUAUUUGUACAUUAUUUUUUUUUAAAUCAAAUAUGGAAAUAAGUCAGGAAGCUAGUGAGAAAACUUGUAAAAUAAAAGUUGAAAACGAAGACACCUGUGUUGGUUCCUUGGAUGCUUUCAAAAUUGAAAUUACGGAAGAACCCAAGAGAGAACCGGCAUACAAGGCAUUUGGUUAUUUAGAGUCCAAUGAAUUUCCGGUAAAAACUGAAGUAGAACAAGAUGAAUAUAAAUUUACACCAUUUGAAGAAAAGCAAACAACAGAUGAAGAAAGUUGUUCUCAGGAGGGAAACCAAAUGAAAAUUAUGGAGACGUUACAUUCAUAUCAUAAAGGAACAUAUACAGAUCAUCACAUUGAACGAAAAAUAUUAAAUAAAAAUGUGAACGUUGAGUCUGUUGGACAUAGAUCUUACAAAUGUGAAAUUUGUUUCAAGCAAUUUACUGCAAAAAAUAGUAUAAAAGCUCAUUUGAGAGUGCACACUGGAGAAAAACCGUACAAGUGUGAAACUUGUUUAAGACAGUUUGUUCAAGCAGGUCAUCUGAAAGCACAUCUGAGAGUGCACACUGGAGAAGAACCUUACAAGUGUGAAAUUUGUUUAAAGCAAUUUACUACAAAAGGAAGUUUGAAAAAUCACUUAAAACUACACACUGGAGAAAAACCUCAUAAGUGUGAAAUUUGUUUAAAGCAAUUUAUUACAACAUGUGAUUUGAAAAAACACUUUAGAGUCCACACUGGAGAAAAACCGUACAAAUGUGAAACUUGUCUUAAACAGUUUAGUGAAUCAGGUAGUUUGAAAACACAUUUGAGAUUGCACAGUGGAGAAAAACCUUACAAGUGUGAGAUUUGUUUAAAGCGAUUUACUGCAAUAAGUAAUUUUAAAAUGCACUUGAGAGUGCACACUAGAGAAAAACCGAUCAAAUGUGAAAUUUGUCUUAAACAGUUUUCUAGAGCAAGUAGUUUGAAAAAUCAUUUGAGUUUGCACACUGACUCCAUUCCUGGCAGAACUGAAAAAUAUGACGGAUAAAAUUUCGGUAUUAAGGAACAAACGUAAACUUAGAAACAUAACAAGACAAGGAGUAUAAUACAGAGUCUGACAUGAUAAAAAUGGGAAGAGCGAUACAGACUAUAAUUAGGAGAAUAGCGAAGGAGGAAAAAGAUAAGGGUAAUGCAGCAAAAAUAUUGUAAGGUCAGUUGGGGUUGUACCCAGGAAGAGAACACAUUGAAAAUUAUUGAACCGUUACAUUCGUCUCAUAAAGGAAAGUAUACAGGUCAUCACGUUGAAGGAAAAAUACUAAAUAAAAAUAUGAAUGUUGAGACUAGGCAGAAACCUUACAAAUGUGAAAUUUGUUUCAAGCAAUUUAGUGAAGCAGGGACUUUGAAAAAACAUUUGAAAGUGCACACUAGAGAAAAACCUUACAAGUGUGAAAUUUGUUUCAUUACGACAACUGACUUGAAAAAACACCAUAGAGUGCAGACUGGAGAAAAACCGUACAAGUGUGAAAUUUGUUUUAAACAGUUUGGUCAAGUAGGUGCUUUGAAAAUGCAUUUCAGAGUGCACACUGGAGAAAAACCUUACAAGUGUGAAAUCUGUUUAAAGCAAUUUGUUAAAGCAGGUGAUUUGAAAAGACACAAUACAGUGCACACUGGAGAAAAACCGUAUAAGUGUGAGACUCGUUUUAAACAGUUUAGUGAAUCAGGUACUUUGAAAAAACAUUUGAGAAUGCACAGUGGGGAAAACCUUACCAGUGCGCUAUUUGUUUAAAGCAAUUUCCUGCAAAAAGGAAUUUGAAAAUACACUUGAAAGUGCACAUUGGAGAAAACCCGCUUUAAUGUGAAAUUUGUUUUAAACAGUUUGGUCAUGCAGGUAGUUUGAAAAAUCAUUUGAGAUUGCACACUGACACUGGGGUAAAACUUUGGGACUGUGAAAUUUGUUUAACACAUUAACGCUUACGUUUAGCAUAUUACGGGAGGGAAAUAGUAAACGCGGCCAAGACUCACAUAGAGUUGUAGAGCCAAAUGAUGAUCAUGAUGGUAGCAUAUGGAGCCACCAAACGUAAAAAAUUGUUAAGUAAAAUUUCGCUUAGUGAGAUUCGGCAUAUUCUUAGUUAAAGAUUACCACUUCUUGAAUCCACAACUCAAAUUUAGUUUUAUAUCUAUUUUCCAGUGUAAUAACUUUUUUUUCAAUUGACGGUUGGUUUUGUUUGUGCCAAAAUAUGGACAUUUGUUUCGUGUCAGUUUUUUAUUUAUUAUUUUUUGCACUAGGAUCUUCGUUUUUGUUUUUAAAAGAUUUUGUACAAAUUUUAAUAAAUAAAUUAUACAGCUUUUCAUAAUAUUUCAUCUUUUGGUUUUUUCUUAAUUACGCCAAAAAUAUGUGUGUUCCCAAAUGGAACCGCUAGGCGGUUUGCUGGAUGUCGUUUCUACGCUGCUUUUUUACUUUUCUUAUUUUUAGAGAAAUUUCUUUGAAAGAAAAUCUCGAAAUAGCUUUCAAUGAAAACGAAAGUAAUAACGAUGUUUCUGCCUUUACAUAAAAUCUCCAGAUAGUAGAGAGAUAUCGAAACCCUAUUUAACAUCGUCCUUUAAUAAAAGAUCCUUUAUUUUGACAUAUACGCAAGCGCAGUAUCACGUCCUUUAUUUUUGUCCUGUAAUAAAAUACAGGCCGCCUGUAUUUAAGGAAAAAUAAAGGACAAAAAUCUUUUAAUAAAGGAUCCUUUAUUUUGACGUGACGUGUCAAAAAUGUGACAAAUUUGUCAAGAAAUGUGAAGAAACAAGAGAAGGAAGAGAAGGAAGGCGUCUAACUUCACUUAUAUUUAUGUUUUUAUCACAUCUUUGCAAAUUUUUGAUCUAAGUUGAAGUUUUAUUUAUUAAAAAGAACUCCUAAAUAAAGAGAUAAAA